rnacentral:rRNA from 1 species
CGGCCUGGGGAGUACGGCCGCAAGGUUAAAACUCAAAUGAAUUGACGGGGGCCCGCACAAGCGGUGGAGCAUGUGGUUUAAUUCGACGCAACGCGAAGAACCUACCUGGCCUUGACAUGCAGAGAACUUUCCAGAGAUGGAUUGGUGCCUUCGGGAACUCUGACACAGGUGCUGCAUGGCCGUCGUCAGCUCGUGUCGUGAGAUGUUGGGUUAAGUCCCGUAACGAGCGCAACCCCUAUCCCUAGUUGCUAGCAGUUCGGCUGAGAACUCUAGGGAGACUGCCGGUGACAAACCGGAGGAAGGUGGGGAUGACGUCAGGUCAUCAUGGCCCUUACGGCCAGGGCUACACACGUGCUACAAUGGUGCGCACAGAGGGCUGCAAACCCGCGAGGGGGAGCCAAUCUCACAAAACGCAUCGUAGUCCGGAUCGCAGUCUGCAACUCGACUGCGUGAAGUCGGAAUCGCUAGUAAUCGUGAAUCAGAAUGUCACGGUGAAUACGUUCCCGGGCCUUGUACACACCGCCCGUCACACCAUGGGAGUGGAUUGCACCAGAAGUGGUUAGUCUAACCUUCGGGAGGACGAUCACCACGGUGUGGUUCAUGGCUGGGGUGAAGUCGUAACAAGGUAACCGUA